rnacentral:lncRNA from 1 species
AGUCUUUAAUUUCGUGCUUAGAAAAAAAUCAGUGGUUGAAGAGGAAGGCUACGGAAUCAUACGAUUUUAUCUAUUAAUCUUUGUGAGGAGAUAACUAAAACUGUGGAGCGAGAUUGAUCUAACUGGCCUGGAAGGUGAGAGCAAAUGAGAUCCUGAAAGGUAGGAUUAGUUCUGACUUUGAUUUAUCAAGUUUACUCUCAAUAUUUUGAAUUUCUGCAUAUUAAUAUAUCUUUGCUGGCUUUGAUGUCUUAAAUCUAUCUUUUUGAUAUGUUAGAGUGAAAGCAUUUCUCAUCCUCUCAAGUCUCGACCGUUAAGAAAGGUAACUACAUCUCUAAUCCAAAAAAAAUGAUCAGAUACAAUAACUAUUUGGAAUCUUACGAUCAUUUUUUUCUAUUUUCUAUUGGAAAUACCAACAUAUGCCGACUACCACUAUCAUACCGGAAACGAAGAGCUUUAUGUAGAGUCUAGGACAAAUUCAACGAAGGUAUUCAAUUCUUCUUUUAAUCUCUUUUUUUUGGUCGAAUGAUUUUCAUAACAAGUGAUGACUUCAUUAAUAGAUUUUCUGAUGCUAAAUUCCGAAUUUUUUGUGCAUCACAUAGUUAUGAGUUUAACUUAUGUUUUUAUCUAGAUAUUGAUGCAAUGAUUAUUGAUACUUAAAAGAAUAGCUUAAGACGAAAAAGAAAGGAGAAAGACAAGAAGAAAGAGCAUGAGAUGAAGAUAAAAAUAGUAGAACAAGAGAGAAAGAAGACCAAAGAACAACACACAAAUGUGAUUUUUUUAUGGAAUGUAAUUUUAUUAGAUUAAUUUUCUCCUUUUCUAAUUUUUACAUCAAUAUAAGAUUAAUGUUUAGUACACGACUUUCUUAAUGUGAUCUGUAUUUUGAAAGAAAAAUUAAUGAUUAGAUAGGAUUGCAUGAUCUAAACUAACAAGAAGAAAUAUAAAUAAACAAACAAACCAUCUAAAUGGAAAAUAAUGAAGAAA